CAAGUCGAGGGCGGGGAGCAAUCCCCGACCGGCGAACGGGUGCGUAACACGUGAGCGACCUGCCUGGAAAUGGGGGAUAGCCGGCCCAACGGCCGGGUAAUACCGCAUACGCUCUUCGGGGGGCAUACCCUGGAGAGGAAACUUUCGAGGUUUUCAGAGGGGCUCGCGGCCUAUCAGCUGGUUGGCGGGGUAACGGCCCACCAAGGCGACGACGGGUAGCUGGUCUGAGAGGAUGGCCAGCCACAUUGGGACUGAGAGACGGCCCAGACUCCUACGGGAGGCAGCAGUGGGGAAUCUUGCGCAAUGGCCGAAAGGCUGACGCAGCGACGCCGCGUGUGGGAGGACGCCCUUCGGGGUGUAAACCACUGUUGCCCGGGACGAACCUGGCCUUUCGAGGCCACUGACGGUACCGGGUGAGGAAGCACCGGCUAACUCUGUGCCAGCAGCCGCGGUAAUACAGAGGGUGCGAGCGUUGUCCGGAAUCACUGGGCGUAAAGGGCGCGUAGGCGGCGCGGUAAGCGUGCGGUGAAAGCCCGGGGCUCAACCCCGGGCCGGCCGUGCGGACUGCCGGGCUGGAGCACUGUAGAGGCAGGUGGAAUUCCGGGUGUAGCGGUGGAAUGCGUAGAGAUCCGGAAUAACACCGGUGGCGAAGGCGGCCUGCUGGGCAGUGGCUGACGCUGAGGCGCGACAGCGUGGGGAGCAAACAGGAUUAGAUACCCUGGUAGUCCACGCCGCAAACGAUGGGCACUAGGUGCCUGGGGAGCGACCCUCCGGGUGCCGGCGCUAACGCAUUAAGUGCCCCGCCUGGGG
rnacentral:rRNA from 1 species